AGAGAUUAUAAGAUACCACACAGCUGGUUUUGAAGGGGAAAAAGGGGCUACAAGCCAACAAAUGCAGGCACAUCCAGAAGCUGGAAAAGGCUGGAGAACAGAGGUUCCUCUGGAUCUUCUCAAAGGAGCACAGUGCUGCUGACACCGUUUCUGUAUUUUUUUUUUUUCCAGUAACGCCUAUUUUGGACUUCUGACCACUGUAACUGUAAAAUAAUAAAUCUGUGUUGUCUUAAGGCACUGUUUGUGAUAAUUUGUUACAGUAACAAUGGAAAACCAAUGCAACAUAAAUAGAGUAAGGAGUUAGUAAAUACCUAAUGUGUAAGUAAAUGAAAGAUAGAAUGAAGCUUAUUAGAUUUUAUGUUAAAUGCAUGUGUGAAAGUCAAUCCUUUGGGGAUGGAAAGACAGUUAUAUUUGGUGGGUUAAUGGGAGUGGGGAGAGUGGUCCUGGUAGCUAUUUGAGAUGAACAACUUUCAGAUUAUGGUAAUAAUAUAAAUAAUGAGAAAAAGAAAAAUAAAUACCCAGCUCCUCCUGCACUAGAAGACAUUAAAAAGUGAUUAAAAGUUUAAAAGACCCUAAUAUGUUUCACUUAAAAUGGAAGCUAAUUUUGAUAAUAAUGCAAAGCAGAAGGAGUCAUAAUGAAUUCAAAUUGUCUGAACUGAACUUUGGUGCAGACUUUCUGGCCCCUGCAUGGGCAAGAUACUUUGGAUUUCUGUCCUCCAUGAUCUGCCAUGUGGCUGGCACUGAAUCCAGCUCUAUUUCAUCUCCAUAAUGUUGAUAGGGCCAGCUGGCUGGCAGAUCACACAACUGCCUUUGUGGACCCGUGGCCUGGAUUGCAGAUGGACAAGAAGUGAAGCAUCUGAGCAAUGCAGAGAGACACUGGGCCUCAGAGACACUUCAGCCACUGGCGACAUGAUUCCUCACCCAUCUGCUCUUCGACACAGCUGCUGGGGGUGCUACUGCCAUGGCGUCAGCCAUUUGGCAGCUGAGCACAGAGUCUUGGAAAGAACGACAACCUUUGCAAUUGUCUGGUAGUCCUAGCCAUGCUGUACCCCUGAGCUUUUAACUUGAAUAUCACUUGUGGGUAAAACAAAGGACAAGCAUGCUCAAGUCAUGUCAGAAACUGAGCCUCCAAGUAGUGUUGAUGCUUUACUUAGAUUUAACACCUUGGACUUGAAUCUAGAGUCUUUUGUUCCUUAAAGAAAGUAUGAAAGUAGUUUCUUUUUCACCUGCAGGAGUACAAACAAAAUUACAAAUAGAGAAGCAAGCUGGUGAUGUUUGUAUUCUGGUUUGUAUUCCUUGGUGAUUUUUAACUAAGGCAAAUAAUAUGGAAU
rnacentral:lncRNA from 10 species